rnacentral:rRNA from 1 species
CAGUAGCCGCGGUAAUACGUAGGGUGCAAGCGUUAAUCGGAAUUACUGGGCGUAAAGCGUGCGCAGGCGGUUAUAUAAGACAGAUGUGAAAUCCCCGGGCUCAACCUGGGAACUGCAUUUGUGACUGUAUAGCUAGAGUACGGCAGAGGGGGAUGGAAUUCCGCGUGUAGCAGUGAAAUGCGUAGAUAUGCGGAGGAACACCGAUGGCGAAGGCAAUCCCCUGGGCCUGUACUGACGCUCAUGCACGAAAGCGUGGGGAGCAAACAGGAUUAGAGACCCCCGUAGUCCCUGUCUCUUAUAC